rnacentral:misc_RNA from 1 species
UUAAGUUCAGCGGGUAUCCCUACCUCAUCCCAGGUCAAACUGUAAAAGUUGGGGGUUGCUGGCGGGCGACCACCGGGACCCAACAGCGAGAAGAAUUACUACGCUGAGAGCCCAGAUGGCGCCGCCACUGUUUUCGAGGCCCGCCGCUUGCGCGGCGCGGCCCAAGACAGCAGAGCUUGAGGGGUGAAAUGACGCUGGAA